AUGGCCUCAGCUCAGGAAAAGGCGGCGCUCUGCUGCGGGGGCCCCGCGCGCGAUGCCCCCAGGGCGGCGAUCGCCGCGCCCGGGAAGGCGGUCUCCAUGUCCGCGGCCGCCGCCGGCGGUUCCGCUGCCGGGGGCGGCGCCGUGAUGGACGACAUCGCGUCCGCGGCCCAGCCCACUACCGCCAAGGCCUCCUCUAAAGGGAUACCCAUAAUGACGAGAGCUCAAAGAUUCCACCCUUUGGACCCAUUAUCUGCUGCCGAAAUUGCAGUGGCUGUUGCAACUGUAAGAGCCGCUGGAAAAUCUCCUGAGGAACGUGACAGCAUGCGUUUUGUUGAAGCUGUGCUACUGGAACCAGAAAAGAAUGUUGUAGCAUUAGCCGAUGCCUACUUUUUCCCGCCGUUCCAACCAUCACUGCUCCCUAGAACCAAAGGCUCUGCCGUCAUUCCGAGCAGGUUACCUCCCAGGAGGGCUAAGCUUGUUGUCUACAAUAGACAUUCAAAUGAGACUACCAUUUGGAUAGUAGAACUAUCUGAAGUGCAUGCAGCUACUAGAGGUGGACAUCACAGAGGGAAGGUGAUAUCAUCUGAACUUGUUCCAGAUGUACAGCCUGCAAUGGAUGCUAUGGAAUAUGCUGAGUGUGAAGCUACUGUCAAAAAUUAUCCUCCAUUUGUUGAAGCUAUGAAGAAAAGAGGUGUGGACGACAUGGAACUUGUCAUGGUAGAUGCCUGGUGUGCUGGCUACUACAGUGAUGCUGAUGCUCCCAGUCGCAGACUUGCCAGGCCUCUAAUCUUUUGCCGAACUGAGAGUGAUAGUCCCAUGGAGAAUGGUUAUGCUCGUCCUGUGGAAGGGAUCCAUGUUGUUGUUGAUAUGCAGAAUAAUAUUGUCAUAGAGUUUGAAGACAGGAAGUUUGUUCCACUGCCCCCACCAGAUCAUUUGAGAAACUACACUCCUGGAGAAACUAGAGGUGGUGUUGAUCGAAGUGAUGUGAAACCUCUUAUUAUCAAUCAGCCUGAGGGCCCAAGCUUCCGUAUUAAUGGCUAUUUUGUGGAAUGGCAGAAGUGGAAUUUCCGUAUUGGCUUCACCCCUAAAGAGGGUUUGGUCAUCUACUCUGUUGCAUAUGUUGAUGGUAGCCGUGGACGUAGACCUAUAGCUCAUAGGCUGAGCUUUGUUGAGAUGGUUGUUCCUUAUGGAGACCCAAGUGAACCACAUUAUCGCAAAAAUGCUUUCGAUGCUGGAGAAGAUGGACUUGGCAAAAAUGCUCAUUCUCUUAAGAAGGGGUGUGAUUGCUUGGGUUACAUCAAGUAUUUUGAUGCACACUUCACGAACUUUACCGGUCAUGUGGAGACAAUUGAGAACUGUGUGUGUCUCCACGAGGAGGACCAUGGAAUCCUUUGGAAACACCAAGAUUGGAGAACUGGUUUAGCAGAAGUUAGGCGAUCAAGGAGGCUCACGGUGUCGUUUAUCUGCACAGUUGCCAACUAUGAAUAUGGUUUUUACUGGCACUUUUAUCAGGAUGGUAAGAUAGAAGCUGAAGUAAAACUUACUGGAAUUCUGAGUUUGGGAGCUCUGAUGCCUGGGGAAUCAAGGAAAUAUGGUACAACUAUUGCUCCUAGUCUGUAUGCACCUGUCCACCAGCAUUUCUUUGUUGCCCGUAUGGACAUGGCUGUUGAUUGCAAACCUAACGAAGCUCAUAAUCAGGUGGUUGAAGUGAAUGUCAAAGUCGAAAGUGCAGGCACAAAUAAUGUGCACAACAAUGCUUUCUAUGCUGAAGAAAAAAUACUGAAAUCCGAGUUGCAAGCAAUGAGAGAUUGUGACCCUUCAUCUGCGCGACAUUGGAUUGUUAGGAACACAAGGGCUGUAAAUCGUACCGGACAACCAACUGGUUUCAGACUCGUGCCUGGUUCAAACUGUUUGCCAUUUGCUCUGCCCGAGGCAAAGUUUCUUCGAAGAGCAGGGUUCCUAAAGCACAAUCUUUGGGUGACACCAUACAAGAGCGAUGAGAAGUUUCCUGGAGGGGAGUUCCCCAACCAGAAUCCACGUCUUCACGAGGGUUUGGCUACUUGGGUGAAGAAGGAUAGACCCUUGGAGGAAACUGACAUCGUCCUCUGGUAUGUAUUUGGGCUCACCCACAUCCCAAGGCUUGAAGACUGGCCGGUCAUGCCGGUGGAACGCAUCGGCUUCAUGCUCAUGCCACAUGGAUUCUUCAACUGCUCGCCUGCUGUUGACGUGCCUCCUGGCACUUCUGAUGCCGCCGAUGUCAAGGAAGCAGAGUCGCCUAAAGCCAUCCAGAACGGCAGCCUUGUUUCCAAGCUCUGA
rnacentral:rRNA from 1 species